UCGGCACGAAAGCGCGUGCCUGAACUCCGCGGUGCUGCGUGCUGUAGAACGGCAUCGCGGUUGAAAGCGAAGUGCACAGGGAGCAAGUAGGCCCCCUGAUAGUUAGAAGGCACACUCCGUGAUGGCUUGAGCACCAAGGCAUUGGAUGGUUGCAGCCACCACGCAGCCCUAGUAGAGCAUGCCAGUGGCCAGGAGAAAAUUGCUGGCUUCAGCUCCACUACUUCGAACUAAAGGCUGGCUUCCCCACCGGAGCUUGUGAGGUUGCUCGCAGACCUCCUCUACGACGACCAAAGUUCCCAUGAGGCUGCAGUUCAGGUUGCCCACUACUUGGCCACAUAUGGAGCAGUUCAUGACGGGAGCUCUGAAACACAAUGAACUUUCAUUCGUUGUGGAGAGGCUCUUCCAUUGUUAGAACUCUAGUGCUGUAGCCUUGAUGAAUACUUCAGAUGAAUGACCCCAUCAGACAUGAUAG